GGAUGAACGCUGGCGGCGUGCCUAAUACAUGCAAGUCGAGCGAACAGACGAGGAGCUUGCUCCUCUGACGUUAGCGGCGGCCGGGUGAGUAACACGUGGAUAACCUACCUAUAAGACUGGGAUAACUUCGGGAAACCGGAGCUAAUACCGGAUAAUAUAUUGAACCGCAUGGUUCAAUAGUGAAAGACGGUUUUGCUGUCACUUAUAGAUGGAUCCGCGCCGCAUUAGCUAGUUGGUAAGGUAACGGCUUACCAAGGCAACGAUGCGUAGCCGACCUGAGAGGGUGAUCGGCCACACUGGAACUGAGACACGGUCCAGACUCCUACGGGAGGCAGCAGUAGGGAAUCUUCCGCAAUGGGCGAAAGCCUGACGGAGCAACGCCGCGUGAGUGAUGAAGGUCUUCGGAUCGUAAAACUCUGUUAUUAGGGAAGAACAAAUGUGUAAGUAACUAUGCACGUCUUGACGGUACCUAAUCAGAAAGCCACGGCUAACUACGUG
rnacentral:rRNA from 1 species